rnacentral:rRNA from 1 species
CUGCGGUCGCUUUGGAAAGCAAGAAUACCAGCAAAAAUUAAAAUCUUCUUAUGGCAGCUGGCUCGAAACCAGAUUCCCAGCGAUGACCAGAUCCAAAAAAGACACGGCCCGGGAGAUGGCUUGUGUGUUUGGUGCAGAGAAGAGGAAUCUAGCAGCCACAUUAUCUUUCAAUGCAUUGUGGCUCGGAUGGUGUGGAGCUCCCUUCGAGAGGCGACUGGAUGUUCGUGGAACCCGAGUGAUUUCGCUGAACUAUAUGGGCUCAUCAUGGCUAGCAAUGCCCAGGAUCGGAAGCUAGCUUGGCUUGGCGUUGGGGCGCUUGCUUGGUCUCUCUGGACUACGCGGAACAAAGCUACCAUUGAGGGAAUUUUCUUUAAACAUCGGGCUGAUGUUGUGUAUAAAUUGGUCAUCCUUUUGCAGCUUUGGAAGGGGUUGACGAGACAACGGGACCGCCCCGGAGUGGAGCGCCUCAUCUCCCGCUUGAAGGCCAAGUGUGCUGAGCUCCGGCGUGCCGGAUCGAGGGCUGCAACGGCCGGCGUGCCGCCCUCCUCCGACCCCUGA